UACGUAGGUGGCAAGCGUUGUCCGGAUUUACUGGGCGUAAAGAGCGCGCAGGCGGUCGUUCAAGUCGCGUGUGAAAGCCCCCGGCUCAACUGGGGAGGGUCACGCGAUACUGAUCGACUCGAAGGCAGGAGAGGGUAGUGGAAUUCCCGGUGUAGUGGUGAAAUGCGUAGAUAUCGAGAGGAACACCAGUGGCGAAGGCGACUACCUGGCCUGUUUCUUGACGCUGAGGCGCGAAAGCUAGGGGAGCAAACGGG
rnacentral:rRNA from 1 species